AUUGAACGCUGGCGGCAGGCCUAACACAUGCAAGUCGAACGAGUGGCGGACGGGUGAGUAAUGUCUGGGAAACUGCCCGAUGGAGGGGGAUAACUACUGGAAACGGUUGCUAAUACCGCAUACCAUCGGAUGUGCCCAUAUGGGAGUAGCUAGUAGGUGGGGUAACGGCUCACCUAGGCGACGAUCCCUAGCUGGUCUGAGAGGAUGACCAGCCACACUGGAACUGAGACACGGCCCAGACGCCUACGGGAGGAAGCAGUGGGGAAUAUUGCACAAUGGGCGCAAGCCUGAUGCAGCCAUGCCGCGUGUAUGAAGAAGGCCUUCGGGUUGUAAAGUACUUGCAGCGAGGAGGCGUUACUCGCAGAAGAAGCACCGGCUAACUCCGUGCCAACCGCCGCGGUAAUUC
rnacentral:rRNA from 1 species